rnacentral:lncRNA from 1 species
UUCUUUUCUUUCUUCUAAGUCUCUAUCUUUACUUGAACACCCCCACCCCCCCCUACUCUUUAGCAAGCACCUAGUUUAUAAAUACCUAUCCCAAAUAUAAAUUUUCCUCUCUAUAUUUCUUGCUUUUCAUUGAAAUCUUGUGAAAAAUAUUGGUUGGUUAUUUCUAUAAUCUUUUUUUCUUGUAUUUUGUAACCUUAGAGAGAAGAAACUAUAAUAAUCAAUCAGAAGUGAGAUAGGAAGACACGACAAAAGAGAGACUUUUCGAGCUUGAGCUUGCAAGCCGCAAACAACAACUUUAUAUCUUGAAGAGUUGGGAUGGAAGAAAAUUAUAAAGAAGAGAAAUUUGAGGCAAGGAAUACAAGUAAAAAUAACUAUUUUUGGAAAAUAAAGAAGACAUAUUGGAUUGGUUGCUUUGGAUUGUUCAUUAUAAGCAUGGGAGGUGGAGUAAUAUUGGGAUGGUGGAAUUCAAAGUUUCAUUCUUCAAAUAGUCAACUAUGGUUGGUGCCUUUAGGUCUCAUCUUGCUUAUUACACCAAUUAUAAUUUCUUUUGCUGUUCUCUUCGAUGCCAGUAACUACAGAGAAUUUGAUGAUCAAAUAGUCAAAUUGCCUCAAGAUUAUUCCCCUCAGCAUAUGGAGAUAUCAUUAUAAUUUACAGCACUAAUUACAUGUUUGUUAUUAUGAUCAUCAUUGAUUUUUGUGAUUACUUAAAGAAAGUAAGUAUUACUACUAUAGUUCUUUUAGUUUUUUUUUCUUCAUUUUGCAACUUAUAGACCAUUGAAUUUUGGGAGUUUGUUUUGAACUUGUUAUGCGUCUUUAUCGAUUAUAGCGUGCCAAAAAGGGAAACAGAUACCUUAUAUGUGUAAAAGAUUUUCUAUAUAUACACCAAAGGGAAAAAAAUGUAUAAUAUUUCUUGAGUAAUGUAAAUAAUAAGCUCUCUGUUUUAAAAAAGUAAUGAAAUGGUAAACUUAUUUGUUUUACUUAAGUAA